UACGGAGGAUGCAAGCGUUAUCCGGAAUCAUUGGGCGUAAAGCGUCCGCAGGUGGCAGUUCAAGUCUGCUGUCAAAGACUGGGGCUUAACCCUAGAAAGGCAGUGGAAACUGAACAGCUAGAGUGCGGUAGGGGUAGAGGGAAUUCCCGGUGUAGCGGUGAAAUGCGUAGAGAUCGGGAAGAACACCAGUGGCGAAAGCGCUCUGCUGGACCUGCACUGACACUCAGGGACGAAAGCUAGGGGAGUGAAUGGG
rnacentral:rRNA from 1 species